UCCCCCUGGAAACGGGCAACGAGACACCAUGUUGGUGGUGUUGUUCUAUCAGUCAGGGGCAGAGCGGUUGGCAGUCCUUUGUUCAUCCGAGCUUGAUGCCUGGCUUGAUGGCUAAAGCUGUUUAAUGCCUAGGACACAUAA
ensembl:snoRNA LOC120093972 small nucleolar RNA SNORA48